ensembl:lncRNA
UGUGAGGCAACCAGCUUUCCUACUCUGCUGAUGGGCCUGCAAACCAAGAGCAGGACGUUAUGAAGACAAAAAUGAAGACCGGUCUGAGACGACCUUUCUAAAGAGCUUCAGCUGAGAUUGAAGAAUGAGGAGUUGGUCAGACCAAGUAACUCAAGGAGGAAAGAGCUCUUUGUGCAAAGGUCUGAAUCUGAAAAGAACUCAGGGCAUUUGAGGUCUCCGAAGGACAGGCAGUAGCAAGGACCCGGGGCCAGAGCAGCCCGGAACUACGCCUGAAGGUGCAGCGGGAGGCCCAGGAGCCCUCAGGCCAUGCUAAGGACUCUGUUUAUUAUCCUGAGCUUCAGAGGUCGCAGAAGGGCUAAAGCCAAGAAAUGAUGUUCUCAGAUCUGCAUUUUUCAGAGAUCUCUCUGCUACGCAACGUGAUAACGUGUCAGCGCCUUGAUCCUGGCCGUGAACACUUACACCAUGGAAACUGGCAAACAGAGUCCAAGCGGGAAGUUCGCUCCCCCGUCCCCAUAAUACUGCCUGCUGUUGACACACGGAUGGCUUCCAGACGGGCUCUGUGGAGUUGAAAGCAUGGUGUCACGGCCUUCCUCUGUCUUGCAAAUGAGGUAACUAAGGUUCAGAAAGUGUGGCUUUCCAGCCCCUUUAAACUGUCGAGGACCACCCAGCGACUCAGUGCUAAGACCCUGUAAAAUUCACUGCAAGGCUUCCCCACUUCUCUGCCAUCCGGCGCCUUGUGGUUGUCAUCCUGGGUUUCUCCACCUCCUAUCUUCCUCUGAUUUGAAUUCCAGGUAAUGGCACACAUCUGUACUUACAAUGGAGUAUGUAAUUCUACGUAUAAUUGUGUCAGUAACAGCACACAGUUCGCCUUCUGAAACAUCUAGACAGACUGCUUCCUAUGAGGUCCCAAGAAUUCCAACUAGGAGUCAUCAUACAGGCUUUGAUAUGUAUACAUUAAAGAUGGC